rnacentral:rRNA from 1 species
AAACUUUCAAUAAUAGAUCUCUUGGUUCUAGUAUUAAUAAAGAACGCAGCGAAAUGCGAUAAGUAGUGUAAAUUAUAGAAUUUAGUAAAUCAUCAAAUCUUUAAAUGUAUAUUGCGCCCUUUGGUAUUCCUUAGGGCAUGCCUAUUUAAGCGUUAUUU